rnacentral:rRNA from 1 species
UACGAGGGGGGCAAGCGUUGUUCGGAAUUAUUGGGCGUAAAGGGUGCGUAGGCGGUUUGGUAAGUCUUAUGUGAAAUCUACAGGCUCAACUUGUAGUCUGCAUGAGAAACUGCCGGGCUUGAGUAUGGGAGAGGUGAGUGGAAUUCCUGGUGUAGCGGUGAAAUGCGUAGAUAUCAGGAGGAACACCUGUGGCGAAGGCGGGUUGCUGGGCUGACACUGACGCUGAUGCGCGAAAGCUAGGGGAGCGAACGGG